ACAGCCACAUCAUGUGGAAACACUGAUUUCCAUACGACCACUGAAGUUAAGUAAUGUCGAGCCUGGUCAGUGCCUAGACGGGUGACCGCUGGGAAAUACCAGGUGCUGUAA